rnacentral:rRNA from 1 species
GACGAACGCUGGCGGCGUGCUUAACACAUGCAAGUCGAACGGAAAGGCCCUGCUUGCAGGGUACUCGAGUGGCGAACGGGUGAGUAACACGUGGGUGAUCUGCCCUGCACUUCGGGAUAAGCCUGGGAAACUGGGUCUAAUACCGGAUAGGAGCCAUUUUUAGUGUGAUGGUUGGAAAGUUUUUUCGGUGUAGGAUGAGCUCGCGGCCUAUCAGCUUGUUGGUGGGGUAAUGGCCUACCAAGGCGGCGACGGGUAGCCGGCCUGAGAGGGUGGACGGCCACAUUGGGACUGAGAUACGGCCCAGACUCCUACGGGAGGCAGCAGUGGGGAAUAUUGCCCAAUGGGCGCAAGCCUGAUGCAGCGACGCCGCGUGGGGGAUGACGGCCUUCGGGUUGUAAACUCCUUUCGCUAGGGACGAAGCUUUUUGUGACGGUACCUAGAUAAGAAGCACCGGCUAACUACGUG